AUGUUUGCCACGGACACAAGGGAAUCUAACCAUGUUAGCCUAGAAGGGGCAAUUGCCGAGCUAACCAAGAAGCUGUCCAAGAGUGAUCAUGUCUUCAUUGUCGGGAUGGGGGGGAUGGGCAAGACCACCCUUGCUCGAGCAGUCUACGACAAGAUGAAAGGUGAUUUUGAUUGUGGAGCUUUUGUUCCCAUCGGUCAGAGAGCCGACAUGAAGAGGGUUCUGAUGUACAUCUUCGAUGGACUUCAAAUGGAGAUCUAUGGUCACGAACCAGACCAACACCAGCUAACCAACCAGCUGCAAAAUUUCCUGGUGGAUAAGAGGUGCUUAAUUGUCAUCGACGAUAUAUGGGAUAAGGAAACAUGGAACUUUGUUGAACUUGUUUUUAAGGGUUGUGCUGGAAUUAGAAUCAUCACCACCACUCGUAACCGAAAUAUUGUCAAAGGAGUUGGUGUCACAGUGUACACAAUGAAACCACUUUCCCCUGCCGACUCGAAAGAGUUGCUCCGAACCAAAGCUCAAGUUAAAAGCCAUGAUGCAGAAUUUGAUACACUGUCAGAUCAAGUUUUGCGUAAAUGUGGUGGUGUGCCAAUAGCUAUCACUAUGAUAGGUGUGUUGCUUGCAGAACAUCAAAGCAAAGAGUGGCAUGGGGUGUAUGAUUCUAUUGGUUUUGAUGAGCACAAGGAGGAUGGGGCUUUCCGGCACAUAAGGAAGGUGUUAUCAUAUAGCUAUUAUGCUCUACCCUAUAAUAUCAAGAGAUGCUUUUUGUACCUAAGCCUGUUCCCAGAAGACCACUGGAUCGAGAAGAAUAUGCUGAUAUGGAGGUGGGUUGCAGAAGGCCUUGUCCCUGAGAGGUCAUUUGAGAUUGGGGAGACCUAUUUCAAGGAGCUAAUGGAUAGGUGCAUGAUCCAGUGGGCAGUGAGCCCUCAUGACCCCAGCCAAGGUGGUUGCCGUGUCCACAUUUUGAUGCUUCGCGUCAUCCGUGACCUGUCAAGCAGCGAGAAUUUCUCCACCAUGCUAGGCCUAGACAUGAAGCAGGAGAGCAUAUCCAGAACCAUACCCAUUCAUAGAUUAGCCAUCCACGAAGGCGAAGCAAUGGUGGGUCGAAGUCAAAACAGUAGACUGCUGGAAGUGAGGGAGGUGCUGUCAUUGUAUGACAGCACAUGCCCCGGCAGCAGCUUGCCACCACUCCGGGAGUUUGAAAACUUGUGUGUAAUGGAUCUGGAGAGAUGUGAUUUAUCCUUGAGAGAUUCCAAUCUGGAGCAGCUCGGCAGAUUGAAAGUGCUCAAGUAUGUUGGGCUUGUCGGCAUAUACAUGGCCGAGCUCCCAAGGAGAAUAGGACGCCUCAAGCUACUAGAGAUCCUCGACGUGACGGCAACUGGCAUCAGAGAGCUGCCACUGUUCAUCGAGGAGCUAAGGAAGCUUAGGUGCCUGCGUGCUGGCAAGGGCACAAGGAUGAUGGGUCGGGUAGGGAUGCUGACGUGCCUGGAAGAGUUGUGGCUGCACUCGGCGGACAAGUCCCCGGACUUCGCCGCCGAGCUCCAGAAGCUGAGCGAGAUGCGGGUGCUGGUGAUCCACUUGGACGAGGUGGACGAGGGCAUGCAGAAGAAGCUGGUGGUGUCCCUUCAUAAACUGAGGAAGCUCCAGGUCCUGCAGGUCUGGUCCGACGCAGAGGAGAAGGCAUGCCUCGGCAGCCGCGAUUGGGAAGGCAGCGUGCCAUCCUCGCAGCUCCGGCAGCUGCUCCUCUUGGGGAUCAUCCUACCCAGGCCGAUGCCGUGGAUCCACCACUCGCGUGUCCCCAAACUCUCCAAGCUGGUGCUGCAGGUGGAGACCCUGGAGGUGCAACAUGUGCAGAUCCUCGGGCAGAUGCCAUCCCUCCGCUCCCUCUGCCUCCACAUCCACUGCUACGGCAACCGUUUGCUGUACACCGCCGGCAAGCACGAGUUCAUGGUGCUGGCAUACCUCUACGUAACCAACAUAGAGCUGAUAUGUGGAGAGGGAGCGCUUCCAAGGAUUCAGGAGCUGGAGGUUGGCGGAAUCAGGGUGGGGACGGACGUUGGUCUGCGGGGGAACAUGCCUCUCCUUGAGAGGGUCAGCUACCAUCUCGACUACUUGGGUUGCAGCCCCGUGGAGGUGCACAAGGCAGAAGAAGAUCUAAGGCAGGCGAGCCAAGCCCACCCCAACAGUCCAGUCUUCACCAUAAAGAGAUGGGACGGCGUCGAUGUAUGUUCCAUUUCAUUUCAGGGACCGAGCUGGAGUGAUUCUGAAUAUGAAGGACAAGCCUCUACCGAUAGCGUGUCAGCUUGUCUCAACGACCAUUUUACAGACAAUGUCGAGCCAGCGCCACCUAAGGUCGACACCGCCAGUGUACUCUCCAUGCCUAACAACUUGGAUGGAGCCAACCUUUUGUCGGAAGAAGCUGCCAAGUUAACAAUCACCCAAGCUGGGUAUUGCUACAUCACCCAAGCUGGCUACCUAGAUUGCAGAGACACUACCGCUGGGGAAAGGUUACACAAUGCUGAAGCCAUGGAACCAACAAGUCUAAAGAUGGAAUUAUUAAGAAAAAUCACGAAGCAAUUCGCCAAGGAGCGAGUACUUGGUCAAGGUGCAUAUGGAAGAGUUUACAGGGGUGUGUGCGAUGACGGACAAGUGGUUGCUGUGAAGCUGCUCUAUAAUCUAAAGCAAACAAUUGAUGAUGAGCAAUUCAUACGUGAGUUUAAAAACCUUAUGGUGCUAAAGCAUCCGAACAUCGUAAGGUUAGUUGGCUACUGCUACGAAACACAACGUCAACAUGCGGACUUUGAAGGAACCAUUGUUUUUGCUGAAACAACACACAAAGCACUUUGCUUCGAGUAUAUGCCCGAGGGGAGCCUUCGUAAGCAUCUGUCCGAUGAAUCCAAUGGACUUGAUUGGCAAACACGUUACAAAAUUAUCAAAGGUGCAUGUGAAGGUUUAAGAUACCUUCAUGAAGAAUUGGAUUUUGGUUUGUCCAAGUUCUACGGCGAAGAACAAACCAGGAUGACACAAAGUCCCAUUGGAACUAUUGGAUACACGCCGCCGGAAUACUUAUUUGGAAGAAAGGUCUCAAAGAAGUUUGACAUAUUUAGCCUGGGUGUUGUAAUAACAAAGAUAAUUGCAGGGCCUAGCGACCACGACACACAUGAUGAAAUGCAAAAGGAGUUUCUUGAUCAAGUACAAGGAAAUUGGAUAAAAAGGUUACAGACUCCAUGGAGUUCUCCUGAGCAACUAGAAGCACAAUGCCAACAAGUGAAAAGAUGCACUGAGAUUGCAUUGAGCUGCAUGGACAUGGAUUGGCGCAGAAGGCCAAGCAUAGUGAAUAUCCUAGAUGAACUCAAUGAGACUGAAAAAUGCAUUGAAAAGGCUACUAAUUAUGAACAAGAUCCAUCACCACCAAUUGCUUCCACUUCAAGCGUUGUUCAACCUGCAGCAUCACCUCCACCAACCACACCAUUUCCACCACCAUGUAUCAUUGCCACCUUCUCAGAGGGACCGAGCUGGAGUGGUUCUGAAUAUGAAGGACAAGUCUCUAGCGACAGCCUGUCAGCUUGUCUCAGUAACCAGUGUACAACCAGUGGAGAGCCACAUCCACCUCGGGUCGACACGGCCGGCAGUACAGUGGGUCAUCUUCCCUCCGAUGGCUAUUGCGACACCCCACAAGCUGGCUACCUAGAUUGCAGCAGGCACACCACCACCGGAGAAAGGAAACCCUGUGAAGCCAUGGAGCCCACAAGUCUACCGAUGAAAUUAUUACGAAAAAUCACAAAUAAUUUCUCCAAGGAGCGACUACUUGGUGAAGGUGGAUAUGGAAAGGUUUAUAUGGGUGUGCAUGACGACGGACAAGAGAUUGCUGUCAAGCUGCUCAAUGAUAGCUUGCAAACAAUUGAUGAUGAAAAAUUCACACGUGAGUUUCAUAACCUUAUGAUGCUAAAGCAUCCAAACACUGUACGGUUAGUUGGCUACUGCUAUGAAACACAACAUCAACCUAUGGACUUCCAAGGAAGAUUUGCUUUUGGUGAAAGAAGACACAGAGCACUUUGCUUCGAGUAUAUGCCUCAGGGGAGCCUUCACGAGCGUCUUUCUGAUAAAUGUAAUGGACUUGAUUGGCAAACACGUUACAAAAUUAUCAAAGGGACUUGUGAAGGUCUAAAAUACCUUCAUGAAGGAUUGGACAAACCAUUUUACCAUCUGGACCUAAAAUAG
rnacentral:rRNA from 1 species